rnacentral:piRNA from 1 species
UCUGUCAUGAGAGCGGGCACGACGUAGCC